rnacentral:rRNA from 1 species
UGCGGAAGGAUCAUUAUUGAAAUAAAUCUGAUGGGUUGCUGCUGGUUUGUUAAUGAACAUGUGCACAUCUAUCAUCUUUAUUAUUCCCCUGUGCACCUUUUGUAGACUUGGAUCAAUUUCUUAAUGCACUAGCAUUGAGGUUUAAGGAUUGACUUGGUCUGUUCUUACAUUUCUGAGUCUAUGUAUAUUUUAUAUACUCUAUGUUAUAGAAUGUAAUAAGAUGGGCCUUUGUGCCUAUAACACUUAUACAACUUUCAGCAACGGAUCUCUUGGCUCUCGCAUCGAUGAAGAACGCAGCGAAAUGCGAUAAGUAAUGUGAAUUGCAGAAUUCAGUGAAUCAUCGAAUUUUUGAACGCACCUUGCGCUCCUUGGUAUUCCGAGGAGCAUGCCUGUUUGAGUGUCAUUAAUAUUCUCAACCCUUCAGCUUUUUUGCUUGUUGAGUGUUGGAUGUGGGGGGUUUUUUUGCUGGUCUUUUAAGAGAUCAGCUCCCUUAAAAUGUAUUAGCAGAACAAUUUGUUAACCGUUCAUUGGUGUGAUAAUUAAUCUACACUGUUGGCGCGAAGCAAGUUCAGCUUCUAGCCGUCUAUUGACUUUUAUUAAUGUGACCUCAAAUCAGGUAGGACUACCCGCUGAACUUAAGCAUAUCAAUAAGCGGAGGAAAAGAAACUAACAAGGAUUCCCUUAGUAACUGCGAGUGAAGUGGGAAAAGCUCAAAUUUAAAAUCUGUCAGUCUU